GGUGAACGCUGGCGGCGUGCUUGACACAUGCAAGUCGAACGGUAUGUGGCAACACAUAGAGUGGCGAACGGGUGAGUAACACGUGGGAACGUACCUUCUGCAGGGGGAUAACUGACCGAAAGGACAGCUAAUACCGCAUAAGACCGAGAGGAGAAAGGUGCAACAGCAUCGGCAGAGGAGCGGCCCGCGGACCAUCAGCUAGUUGGUGGGGUAAGAGCCUACCAAGGCAACGACGGAUAGCCGGCGUGAGAGCGUGGCCGGCCACAAGGACACUGAGAUACGGGUCCUACUCCUACGGGAGGCAGCAGUGCGGAAUUUUAGAUAAUGGAGGCAACUCUGAUCUAGCGACGCCGCGUGCAGGAAGAAGGUCUUCGGAUUGUAAACUGCUGUGGUAAGGGAAAAAUGCCAUGUAGAGUGGAAAGCUACAUGGAGGGAUGGUACUUUACUAGAAAGCCCCGGCUAACUACGUGCCAGCAGCCGCGGUAAUACGUAGGGGGCGAGCGUUACCCGGAAUCACUGGGCGUAAAGGGAGCGUAGGUGGCCUGACAUGUCGACUGUGAAAACCCGGAGCUCAACUCCGGACUUGCAGUUGAAACUGCCAGGCUUGAGGACGGUAGAGGAAGACGGAACUGCCAGUGUAGGGGUAAAAUCCUUAGAUAUUGGCAGGAACGCCGGUGACGAAGGUGGUUUUCUGGGCCGGUUCUGACACUGAUGCUCGAAAGCCAGGGGAGCGAACGGGAUUAGAUACCCCGGUAGUCCUGGCCCUAAACGAUGUUCACUAGGUGUGGGGAGCGGAAAGCUUUCCGUGCUAAAGCUAACGCGAUAAGUGAACCGCCUGGGGAGUACGCCCGCAAGGGUGAAACUCAAAGGAAUUGACGGGGCCCGCACAAGCGGUGGAGCGUGUGGUUUAAUUCGAUGCUAAGCGAAGACCUUACCAAGGUUUGACAUGC
rnacentral:rRNA from 1 species